UACAGAGGUCUCAAGCGUUGUUCGGAUUCAUUGGGCGUAAAGGGUGCGUAGGCGGCGCGGUAAGUCGGGUGUGAAAUCUUGGAGCUUAACUCCGAAACUGCAUUCGAUACUGCCGUGCUUGAGGACUGGAGAGGAGACUGGAAUUUACGGUGUAGCGGUGAAAUGCGUAGACAUCGUAAGGAAGACCAGUGGCGAAGGCGGGUCUCUGGACAGUUCCUGACGCUGAGGCACGAAGGCCAGGGGAGCAAACGGG
rnacentral:rRNA from 1 species